GAGGGCAUAUAUAUCAAAAAGGGAUGCAGAGGGCCAGCUCUCCAGUCUCUUCCCCGUGAUCCCUUUUUCCGACUUAUCACUGCUAGAAGCUGCCAGGGCUAGAACAGGAAGCAGAUUGUUUUUUCCCUUUUUUUUAAAGCUCAAUCAUCACUGCUCUCAUGGGAAGAUCUGUAGCCGAUGAAAAGAUUCUCAGCUACAAUGAUGUUGUUCUUAGGCAAUCAGACCUGGAGAUCCUCAGUGGUCCAUAUUUUCUUAAUGAUCGAAUCAUUGAGUUCUACUUCAGUUAUCUUUCUUCAAGAAAUCCUUCAGAAGACAUCCUACUGGUUCCACCUUCAAUUGCUUUCUGGAUAGCAAACUGCCCAGAUACUGAGUCUCUCAGGGAUUUCCUGGAACCCCUUAAAUUACCGGAUAAAAAAUUGGUGAUAUUUCCUGUCAAUAACAAUGAUGAUGUGAGCCUUGCUGAAGGUGGAUCACAUUGGAGCUUACUUGCAUAUGAAAACAAUGCUAAUGCCUUUGUUCAUCAUGAUAGCUAUUUGGGGAUGAACAGAAGACAUGCUUUGAAACUUUAUAAAUCCGUUGUGGGAUUUAUAGGUCUUGAUGGAUCAGCUGAGGCCAAGUACAUGGAACUUUCUAAUUCACCUCAGCAAGUGAAUGGUUGUGAUUGUGGCUUAUAUGUUACUGCUAUUGCAAGAGCCAUAUGCUACUGGAGUGAAAGCUGUGAUCACAAGGAUAGAGAUGGUCUAUGGUUUUCUGUUGUGAAGGAGCAGGUCACUCCAGCUGCUGUUGGUGCGAUGCGAAAUGAAAUUCUACUUCUGAUUAGAAGUCUUAUGCAAAGCAAAUAAAGGAUUUCCAUCGCAGAAGAAAAAUACAUGAGAUCUUGUGCUAUUUGUCGGUGAGGGUUUCCCAACAAUCUGCACUACUCUAGUUUGGGGCUGUAUGUAGUUAGGGCCUUUAGUUUUCAUUUGUUGCAGAUCAAUUGCUUUCAUGGUGAGAUGUUAUGGAUCUGCAUCUUGUGGUUGUGGUUGUGGUUGUGGUUUUUGGUUCUUGAGGCUUCAAGCAAUGAUGGAUGACAGCAUCUCAGGAUAUCAUAGCCUGCUUAGGCCACCAUGGAGCUCUGCCAUCAUUGCCCCUGCUGGCUGCUGGUGCUUUCGACUCAGCCUCUGUCUUUUGACUAGCCUUGGUUCUAUGGGGUUUUUCAGGUUGGCGGUGGUGCUUUUAGCUUGUCUAGUCUAGGUUCAGUGGAGCUUUUUCGAAGUCCACUGUGCUUCUGACUUGUGUUUGUUCUUUUCUGCAGCUUGAGUUGUGAGACGAUAUAUAUAUGGUGUUCUGCAGAGUCUGGAGACAAGGAGGAGCUGGACAACAACUGGGAGUGCUUUAGAAAAUCAGAAGAGAGAGCUAUAUGGCGUCAAGUGUUUUAAUUCUUGCCACACGAAUUAUGAGAACGAGUAUCGAAUGCGUGAACGUUCCAUGCAUGCAUACAUGUGAAGAAUGAGUCAUUAAGCUCAAUAAAUUUAUAGUAAGUGUCUUAUUUAGUUUA